GUUAAUAGCUUUCCAGAAUGGAAUUUCAAAAGGUUUAUAAAUGCUUGAUGCAUAUAUUCCCGCAGGUUGAUUCACGUAUUCUAAAAUCUGUGGCUAAUGGCUAUUGAGAACUCUAAGGAUGUGGAUGCAGCUGCGGAGAUUAUUUUGUCUGAGAUUCUGCCUUACAUGUCUAAAAAGAUGGUGACUGCUAGUUCUUCCUCACAGAGACAGAGUCCUCGCGUGCCUCGAAAUAGAGCUUUUGAUAAGGAAGAAGGCAAUCAAUUGAGGCAACAAAAGGUAUUGUUGGUGAACAUAGCAUGAUGUCCUUCAGAUCCAUUGUCGGAAGCAAAUGAAGUUCUCAGAGACGUUGUUCUAACAGGUGUUGCUACUGGUAUAGGUUCUGUUGAGGCAUCAAGUACAGCGAGUACUUUAAUAAUCCACUAGAACAACAAUAAUGAGCCCGCUGAUGUUGAAACUGAUGAAUUGAUUUUGUUGGGGAACACAGAAAAAUGUGCUGAAAUUGGGAAAGCUAUAUCUAGUGUCAGCUUGAAUGCUUUAGGGAUUGAUAAUCUUCUGCCUUAUGUGAAUCUUGAAAUUAAAGGGUCUGGACGUAAAGACCAAACUAUUGUCAUUGAAGAUGGGAUUGUGAGGA